rnacentral:lncRNA from 1 species
UAUCCUAAGUGAACUAACACAGAACAGAAAACCAAAUACUGUAUGUGCUCCCUAUAAGUAGGAGCUAAACACUGAGCCCACAUGGACAAAAAGAAGGGAAUAAUAGGCACCAGGGCCUACUUGAGGGUGGAGGGUUGGAGGAGAGCGAGGACUGAGAAAAUACCUAUCAGGUACGAUGCUUAUUACCUGGGUGACAAAAUAAUCUGUACACCAAACCCCAUGACAUGCAAUUUACCUAUAUAACAAACCUGCAAAUGUACUCCUGCACCUAAAAUAGAAGUUGGAAGGAAAAAAAUACAUUGCACAAAUGGAAACAAUAAAAUCUACAAUUUGAACAUUUAUUUGAAUAGCUGGACGUGUCAUCAGAACAACUCUUGAUGCUUAUUUAGGCUCCCAGAGUUACCUAAAGAGAACAUGAGGUUUAAGAACCACUGAUGAGGAAUCAAAGCCCUACUUUGAAGAGUAUAAAUAUAUAUUAAGCAUUAUAUACAUAUAUACACACACAUUUUAAAGAAUUAUAAAAUGAACACUUGUAUACUUAACACCAAGGAAUUGAAUAUUAACAUUGAAGCACCCAGGGCUUCUCCUGUAUUGCAUUCUUUCCUAGAAGUGAUCACCAGCCUAUGUUUUGAAUUAAUUAUGCCUAUGCUUUCGCUGUUUUGCCACACUAUAUCUUCUAUAAUAUUGUCUUGUUUGCUUUUAGGCCCUAUGUAAAUGGCAUAUAUAUUGACAUGCACACACAUCCCCUUUGAUGACUUAGUUUUUUAACAGUCUAUUUGACAUUGGUUCCCACUGAUGCUUGUCACUGUAGAUCACAUUCAUUCCUUUACAAUAUUACGUUGUAUGGAAAUAUCCAUUUUAUCCAUUCUGUUGGUGGGCCUUUGAGUUGUUUUCAGCUUUUUUUCCUCAGGUACAAAUAAUGCUUCCAUGAAGAUUCUUGUAAUUGGUUUCCUUGGUAUAUUUGUAACAACAUUUCUUUAGGGUGACACUAUAAAUUGCAGAGACUACAUACUUUAAAACUUAUUAGGAAUUAACAACUUAUUUUCUAAGGUGGCUGUACCAAUUUACACUCCUACUAUAAUUUCAUGAGAGUUCUUGUGGCACCCUGUCCUCACCAAUUCUUAUCUGAAUGUAAAUAUUACCAUGUGGUUUUAAUCUGUAUUUCCCUAUUUUCUUCUAAGACUUUAAACAUUUUACUUUCAUUUAAGUCCUUGACCCAUUUAAAUUUGACUUUUGUGCAUGAAGUUAUAUAUAUAUACCUGUCCUUUUGAAAAUGUCCUUAUAUUUCUCUUAUUAAGAAUUUUCAAAGAUUUUUCUUUCCCCUUAUCUCAAUCCCCAUCCUUUAUGAACAGACUCGAUGAAUUAAAGAAUAUGAACCCAUACAGAGCUUCAGAGACAUACACUUUCUAAAGAAUAUGAAUUAGAGGAGACAGCACUGAUGGGAGUGACAGAAGCGGUGCCGGUUAACUCCCCACCAUCAAAAGUAUCUUCUGCUGUAGUCUGGCACAAGUUUCAAGCAUCCACUGGGGGUCUUGGGAUGCGUCGCCCUGCAGAUAAGGGCAACUGCUGUGCAGCAUGAACAGUAUGGAGACAAUACUUAUCUUCAUGGAGUUUAUAUUAGAGUAAGACAAGAGGUAGGAGACUGCCUAUUUUAUUGUUCUCUUGAAAAGACUGGGUAUUUUACUUUUAUGAAAGGCUUUAUAGCCUGCAGGGGCAUUCUAAUAUGGAUUUUGGGGGUGAAGAGAGAAAUAGGUGUAGAAAGUAAGUUCAGGGGUGCAGAGACCCAUAGGUUUUUUAAAAGAGAAGUCAGGGGAAGGUCUCUUAAGGUAGUAGUGGAGUCCAAAUUAUUCUAUGUCCCUUGUAGCUCCUACCCUUUGUAUGCAGUAAUUUUUUUUUAAAUCGAAGACAGGGGAAGGUCUCUUAAGGUAAUAGUAGAGACCAAAUUAUUCUAUCUCCCUCGUAGCUCCUUCCCUGUGUAUGCAGUUAACGGAGUGUGGUUUCCCCACUUGUCCCGAAAUCUUCUAGGCACAACAGAUUCCUGUAGUGAGCUGCAUGCAAGGAAGAAGCCUGGUAGGUGAGUAAUUAUUAUAAUCACCAAGAACCCUGAAAGUAACUACUGAUACUUUAUUUAAAUCAAGUAGCUAAUUAAAAAUGUGAAUAUACAACCAAAUCCCAAGACACGAAUAUCAUGAAAAGGAAACAUCAAAAUAAAUAAGCAAAAAACUUGACCUUUCAUGAAACAGCUAAUGCAAAUGAAAACUCCAAUUAUUGUUUUCACAGAAGUUUAAGAGGAUAAUGCAUCCAUAUAAUUAAAAUAAGCUCCAGUGAAAAGGAGUUUUCAGAAAUUCUAAGAAAAAUAUAUUUGCCUAAUUUAAAGCCUCAAAAGAAAGUUGAAGAGCAAAAUGCACACAGCUGAAGCUGACAGUAUUAAAGACUCAGUGAUGAUAUUCUCUGAGAACACAGAAAGAAAAGAAAUAGAUAAUAUGAUAAAAGCAAUAACAGAAAUUCAAAAAAGAGAGGCUAAAGUGAAAGAAUAAGAGAACAACAACAACACACACAUCACCCCUCCAAACCUUAUGAAUUUCCAGAGAGAAAAACUAUAUAGGAAUUUUCAUCUGUAAUGCUCAAUGCUAGAACACAAAGAAGCAAUGUCAACAAAAUGUUGAAUGAAACUCACAAAUAUCUAUUAACCAAUCUAUCAAUCAAAUAUGAGGGCAAAAUAAAGCCAUUUUUCAGGUAAGAAAGCACCCAGAAAGCAUGCCAAUUCUACAUGUCAAGGAAAAAUAAAUCAGUAAAAUUUGAAGUCAAGUCCAAAGAUUGCUGGUGUCUUUAAUGUAAAUGUUUAGAGACUUCUUAAAACAUAACAGAUAAGACAACAAUCUAGAAAGUAAAUUUCAGCAUAACCUGGAAGGAGAGGGUGUCUAGGCAGGGACAAGUAGAAAUAUUCCAACAGCUCAGUGCUGAAGCAAGCAGGUCUCUAGGUACAGAGCCUGAGUAUGAAUUCUGCCUCCACUACUCACUGGCUGUGUGCCUUUCAGA